GUUCGACUUCUACGGUCGGAGCCGCGGCGUUCUCUCCUCGUCUGGUUUUGAGCAUGUGCUGAUGGGAGAGGUCAAGAAUGGGCAGGUGAGUGGCUUCCACAACUGGGUGUACUUCUAUUUCCUGGAGCGCAAGAACGAGGUCAACUACCUGGGCUACAAGAAGUACCUGCAGCUGGGACGCGGGGACGCGAUGGUCAUCAAGUUCUCAUUCAA